rnacentral:lncRNA from 1 species
ACUCUGUAACAUCUGAGCAUAUUCUCACCAAGUCUUGCCAAUUGCCGGCACUUGUGUUUAUGUGGACCACCAUAAAACCUAUUUAUAUUUGUGCUACAGCAAAAAACAGUUGACAAGAACUAAGCUGAUGAGAAAUAUAAAGCUACGUGUCAGAAGCCAUUGGCAUAAAUUGGUUUUAUUCUACAUUGAAAGUCUCUGGAUUCCAGCCAGCCAUGAGCAAUGAAUGACAGGACUUCUUUGAGUCAAGAGAACCCCAGGAAUUUGUGAAUCUGCAAAUGGAAGGAAGCAAUGGAAUCGGGCAAAUGACUGAGAAACGGUUUAUUAGAACUUGG